CCUACGGGUGACAGCAGUGAGGAAUAUUGGUCAAUGGACGAGAGUCUGAACCAGCCAAGUAGCGUGAAGGAUGACUGCCCUAUGGGUUGUAAACUUCUUUUAUAUGGGAAUAAAAUGUUCCACGUGUGGGAUUUUGUAUGUACCCUAUGAAUAAGGAUCGGCUAACUCCGUGCCAGCAGCCGCGGUAAUACGGAGGAUCCGAGCGUUAUCCGGAUUUAUUGGGUUUAAAGGGGGCGUAGGUGGAUUGUUAAGUCAGUGGUGAAAGUUUGCGGCUCAACCGUAAAAUGGCAGUUGAAACUGGCAGUCUUGAGUAGAGUAGAGGUGGGCGGAAUUCGUGGUGUAGCGGUGAAAUGCUUAGAUAUCACGAAGAACUCCGAUUGCGAGGGCAGCUAACUGGACUGAAACUGACACUGAGGCUCGAAAGUGUGGGUAUCAAACAGGAUUAGAUACCCCUGUGUC
rnacentral:rRNA from 1 species